rnacentral:rRNA from 1 species
UACGUAGGUGGCAAGCGUUAUCCGGAUUUACUGGGUGUAAAGGGCGUGUAGGCGGGAGAGCAAGUCAGACGUGAAAUUCCAGGGCUCAACCCUGGAACUGCGUUUGAAACUGUUCUUCUUGAGUGAUGGAGAGGCAGGCGGAAUUCCGUGUGUAGCGGUGAAAUGCGUAGAUAUACGGAGGAACACCAGUGGCGAAGGCGGCCUGCUGGACAUUAACUGACGCUGAGGCGCGAAAGCGUGGGGAGCAAACGGG